rnacentral:rRNA from 1 species
GAUGAACGCUGGCGGCGUGCCUAAUACAUGCAAGUCGAGCGAACGGACGAGAAGCUUGCUUCUCUGAUGUUAGCGGCGGACGGGUGAGUAACACGUGGAUAACCUACCUAUAAGACUGGGAUAACUUCGGGAAACCGUAGCUAAUACCGGAUAAUAUUUUGAACCGCAUGGUUCAAAAGUGAAAGACGGUCUUGCUGUCACUUAUAGAUGGAUCCGCGCUGCAUUAGCUAGUUGGUAAGGUAACGGCUUACCAAGGCAACGAUGCAUAGCCGACCUGAGAGAGUGAUAGCCCACACUGGAACUGGGACGCGGACCAGGCGACUAAGAGAGGCAGCAGUAGCGAAUCGUCCGCAAUGGGCGAAAGCCUGGCGGAGCAGGGCGGCGUGAGUGAUGAAGGUCUUCGGAUCGUAAAACUCUGUUAUUAGGGAAGAACAUAUGUGUAAGUAGCUGUGCACAUCUUGACGGUACCUAAUCAGAAAGCCACGGCUAACUACGUG